rnacentral:lncRNA from 1 species
ACGGCUUGGGUCAAAAUAAAACAGAACAUCCUGAGGAUAUAACGAGCAAUUUGGAAAAAUAAAUUUGUUGGUUUCUUAUACGGUUGCGAAGCCUUAGAAAUAAAAAGAAAAACAGUGUUCGGGGAGAUAACUCUUAUUUGGGAAAGUAUUCGGUUAAGCAGAGUUGGUUUCAAAAGCGUAUAAACUGUUCGAUAUCAUAUUCCAAAAAUCUAAGCGACAUCUUGUGAAACAAAAAA